rnacentral:lncRNA from 1 species
GCUGACUCUCUUUUCAGAUUCAGCCCAGUUGCACCCAAGUAAAAUAAACAGUCUUGUUGCUCACACAAAGCCUGUUGGUGGACUCUCUUCAUAUGGACUCAUGUGACAUUUGGUGCCGAAGACCUGAGACAGGAGGACUCCUUUGGGAGACCGGUCCCCUGUCCUCGCCCUCUCUCCAUGAGAUCCACCCAUGACCUCGGGUCCUCAGCCCAGCCGAAGGAACUUCUCACCAAUUUUAAAUCGGGGACGCAAAGCCAACAAGAAUGAAGAAGUGGCCAGGAAAUUAAAGCAAUGUGAACACCCUCUGGCCAGCCUGUUGGAGGGUGAGAGACCACAUGGAGGAGACAGAGCCCUGAUGUCCCAGCUGAGGACAUCCCAGAAAAGCCUAUUUCCAGACAACUGAGGACAGGUGAAUGAGUUCUUUGUAGAUGAACCAGAAUCCAGUCUAUCUACCUGCUGAGCACAGACAUCUGCCAAACAGGGAAGGGCCGCCUGUCCAGUGGAUACAUGACCCACAUGACCUUACCUAUCAUUGGAGAUGGCUCACACUGCUCACCCUGCCCCCUUGUCUUGUAUCCAAUAAAUAACAGCGCAGCCUGGCAUUCGGGGCCACUACUGGUCACUGUGUCUUGGUGGUAGUGGUUCCCCGGGCCCAGCUGUUUUUUCUUUUA